GCAGAGCCAGCGCUCCGGGCAGCCAUCGCCCCCGCCGGCUCUCUCAGGCGCACCACCGGCCCGUCUCGCCCGCCCCGUCGGGGAGGUGGCGCCUGAGCGCGUGCGAUAGGACCCGAAAGAUGGUGAACUAUGCCGGGGCAGGGCGAAUCCAGAGGAAG